rnacentral:rRNA from 1 species
CCUACGGGUGGCAGCAGUGAGGAAUAUUGGUCAAUGGGCGCAAGCCUGAACCAGCCAAGUCGCGUGAGGGAAGACGGCCCUACGGGUUGUAAACCUCUUUUGCCGGGGAGCAAGCCUGAGCACGUGUGCCCAGGCGGAGAGUACCCGGAGAAAAAGCAUCGGCUAACCCCUUCCAAGCAGCCGCGGUAAUACGGGGGAUGCGAGCUUUAUCCGGUUUUAUUGGGUUUAAGGGGUGCGCAGGCGGGCGGUUAAGCCGGCGGGAAAGAUUCAGGGCUCAACCCAGUCGAGCCGUCGGAACUGGCAGUCUUGAGUGGGCUAGAAGUAUGCGGAAUGCGUGGUGUAGCGGUGAAAUGCAUAGAUAUCACGCAGAACGCCGAUUGCGAAGGCAGCAUACCGGCGCCCAACUGACGCUGAGGCACGAAAGCGUGGGGAUCGAACAGGAUUAGAUACCCCUGUAGUC